rnacentral:tRNA from 2 species
CGCGGGAUGGAGCAGUCUGGUAGCUCGUCGGGCUCAUAACCCGAAGGUCGUUGGUUCAAAUCCGGCUCCCGCA